rnacentral:lncRNA from 1 species
CAAACAGCAGCGUAGUCUCAGUGACCUAAUUUCCUGCCACUGUUCCUUCUCCUCUGAUAAUGGGGAAGAACACUGGUUUUUCUCCUCCUACAACUAAACAAACAAAGCAUGAAAUGAGUGGGAAUGUUUAAUGCCAAAAGCCCGCAGAAGGAGAGCUGCUCUGGACUGGAGACCUUUGCAAACAGAAGUGCCUCACUUUUCUCACCUAGAAAAAUGAAAACAAAUGUUGCUGGUUUUCAUAUUGGACUUCAAAAUCAGAAAAGAAUUAGACAAGGAGGGAGAAGCCCCUGCAGCCGUGUCCCGGUGCUGCCGGAGGAGGGAUGCUGCCCGCACGGGGUGGGCAGCGGAGCCGGGACCUCCUCCCAGGUGAUGUUUAAGGCACAGAAAAAUCUCCUCAUGCCGGCGCACAAUGGCCACAUUGUAAAUCCGUCCCUUCCCAUCAUGUAGGACGUUGGGAUCGUUAGUUUUGGCUGGAAAUAAAAUAUAUAUUACACGCA